GAUGAACGCUGGCGGCGCGCCUAACACAUGCAAGUCGAACGGCACCCCUCCUCGGAGGGCAGCGAGUGGCGAACGGCUGAGUAACACGUGGAGAACCUGCCCCCUCCCCCGGGAUAGCCGCCCGAAAGGACGGGUAAUACCGGAUACCCCGGGGUGCCGCAUGGCACCCCGGCUAAAGCCCCGACGGGAGGGGAUGGCUCCGCGGCCCAUCAGGUAGACGGCGGGGUGACGGCCCACCGUGCCGACAACGGGUAGCCGGGUUGAGAGACCGACCGGCCAGAUUGGGACGGAGACACGGCCCAGACUCCUACGGGAGGCAGCAGUGGGGAAUCUUGCGCAAGGGGGGGAACCCUGACGCAGCGACGCCGCGUGCGGGACGGAGGCCUUCGGGUCGUAAACCGCUUUCAGCAGGGAAGAGUCAAGACUGUACCUGCAGAAGAAGCCCCGGCUAACUACGUG
rnacentral:rRNA from 1 species